rnacentral:rRNA from 1 species
AUUGAACGCUGGCGGCAGGCCUAACACAUGCAAGUCGAACGAGUGGCGGACGGGUGAGUCAUGUCUGGGAAACUGCCUGAUUGCGGGGGAUAACUACUGGAAACGGUAGCUAAUACCGCAUACCAUCAGAUGUGCCCAGAUGGGCUUAGCUAGUUGGGGGGGUAACGGCUCACCAAGGCGACGAUCCCUAGCUGGUCUGAGAGGAAGACCAGCAACACUGGACCAGAGACACGGUCAAGACUCCUACGGGAGGCAGCAGAGGGUAAUAUUGCACAAUGGGCGCAAGUGUGAUGCAGCGAUGCCGCGUGUAUGAAGAAGGCCUUCGGGUUGUAAAGUACUGUCAGCGGGGAGGCGUUACCCGCAGAAGAAGCACCGGCGAACUCCGUGCCAGCAGCCGCGGUAAUAC